rnacentral:rRNA from 1 species
UAUUAUUUAUUUAAAUUAAUUUUUAAUUAUUAAUUUUAAUAAAAAUUAAAUAAAUUGGCAGUGUUUUUAAAAAUUAGAGGAUUCUGUUUAUUAAUUGAUAGUCCACAAUAAAAUUUAUUUAUAUUAAUUAGAUUGAAUAUUGUUGUCAAAAUUAUUUUUAAAAAAAUAAUUUUUAUUUUAAAAAUUUUAUGUCAAAUCAUAAUUCAUUAUAUAUAUAAAAAUAAAAUGGAAUAUAUUUAAAAUAUUUAUUAUAUAAUAUUUGUAAUAGUUAUUGUAUAUUGGAUUUAAAUUUAAAUUUUUAUAAAUAUAAAAAUUGAAUAUAUUUAAAAAUGUGUACAAAUUGCCCGUCGCUUUUAAUUCUUAUUAAAAUAA